rnacentral:lncRNA from 1 species
CCGCCCCGCGGGGAGCGCCGCCCGCAGGACUACGUCCCCCACAGUGCACCGCGGCGGCACCGCCCGCGGGGAGGGGCGGUGGAGGCGGCGGGGCAGAGCGGAGAGGAGCAGAGCGGCCCUCUGCCGGGCUCGGUGCGUAUGGAAUGGAGCGAGCGCCGGGGCUGAAGUCAGCGACGGGAAACCGAGCGACAAAAACAGAAGGUCUCGGCGGCGUGCGGUACAGGAAGGCGCCCAGAGCUCAGGAGCAGCCGCGCUCAGCGGGUCUCGCAGAGCGGAGCGCUUCACGGAACCGCUGCCAGAGAGAGAACCCUGCGCGGAGCCGCCCCCGGGGCUGCAGCGCCGGCAGCGGGCGUGGGGGAGGGCAGAGCCGGGCCUGGGGCUUCGGGCACGCUUCCAUGUCUGACGCCGUUUUGUCAGACCGCCCCUCGGCGCCGUCUGCCACACGGCAGCGCGUCCGGAACGUUGGUGGGAAGAUUCAGCCUCUGCUGCAGUCCCACCAACGUCCACCUCUGAUAUCGUGGGCCAACGUCAUAGAAUAAGAGGCGUUACUUUCAGAGCAGCCCUCGCAUUUUAGACUUCUAUCAAAGAUCAGUAGUUAAUGGUUGCUUUGCAGUUGCAGCAACACUCGUGCUACAAAAGACUAAACGCAGCCAUUAGCAGCCCAGCCCACCAGCAGCAGUACCACAGAUGAAACCUAAUCACUACAAGCACAAGAGUGGCAGAAAAUUCACCACCACACGUAUGUAUGUCCCUGGUGCCUGGCUGCUCGCUUGCAAGCACUUGCGAGAUGGGUGGAGGUCAGCAGGCUUCAAAAGCAGUUGAAAACAAAAAGACAGUUCCUUCUUAAAGGAGAUCCAAUAGCAGGCAGUGCUGGGACACGAUCGCGGACACCAUGGUGUGGUUCCAGCUUGCCAGAAUGAAGGUACAGCGGGCAGCACUCAGCAUCGAAAGCAUGCAAGAAGAAAGCCAGGAUAUCCCCUAACGGAGCUGCACAGCUGUGGUUAUUAUCCUGACACUGCAACAUAAGCAAAGCAAACAAAAGUAAUGCUUAAGUGACAAUGCAAGAAAGAAACUGGAGACUGGAUUCCUCACCAAAGCCACUGGAAGGUUUUCAGUCUCCCUCUCACUGGUUCUGCAGGAGCAGUUGUGCAAGCAGUGUUACACACCCCAGCAUGCCUUCCUGCUGGAUCACCACAGCACCAUAAAAUUUAUAAAUCAAUCCUCAGUGCUUCAUCUGGGAAGCACAGGAGAACUGAGCCAUAAGCAGUCAGACCUUUCACACUGUGCAUAUGAAUGUAUGAAUGAGGUCAUGUUUUCAAGGCUUCUACACUCCUGAGAGGUGGUUGCCCCUCCAUGUGACACAGCGGCCUCUUCUCAAUUUUCACUCUACCUUCUCUUUUCAUUACAGAAGGAAAAGAGAGGCAAAAAACCACUGCGUUGCACUUGAUAUGAUAGAGAUGCUCACAGAGCAACUGCAGUUUCUGUCUCUCCCACAUCUGUCAGCCUCAGGGUCAUCCAAAAUAUGGGAACAUGCAAAAACAAAAGUCCAAGAGGACAGCGUUGUGCACUCAGGGAGGUUGCUGUAGCCCAGGGAGACCCGACAGCACCAAGGAAAUGCAGGUGAAAAGAUGGAGACAAAGCAACAUGGAAGUGGGAGGAUGUGAGCAGUGAGCAACAGCUGCUUUGGAACAGAGUUGCCUCCACACCUACUCUGUUGAAAGCAAGUCCUUAGAAGUAAAAGCAGAAGAGGAGAAAGGGGGAAAAGCAAUACAAGGACCCAAAAUGUUCCCCCAUUCCUUCACCCCAGGGAGGCAGCCUGGCUACACUGGAACUAUCUAAAAUUCCCACUGUUUCAAAUGGAUGCUUUUUCAGCACCGUUUGUAUAGGCUGAACCAAACUGCCUUGGUGUAUGCUGGAAGCACAGCUCUGACUUCUGAAGCAUCCCAGUAAAUCCACAUCAUGGAACAAGACGCAGGCAGACAAGAGCAGAAGUGGAGUCCUUCCAUGGAGAAAACAGACAAGUGGGAAUUUUAUCCCUGUAAGAACGUUUCAUUCCUGGGUGAAAUUAGCACCAUCUGUUCCAUCUUCACUGCAUUUUUCCUUAGAAGCUCCUGCCUUGUUGCAGAAUCAGCGAGAAGACCAGGGCAAGAGGCAAACAGUUAUCAGGUUUUUUUAACACCACUUCAGCUACUUCUCCACUCAGAAGGGCUGUCCAUGCAAUUGAGUAACAC